GUCGCCGAGCAGUGAACAGGUGCUACACCCUUAUUCAACACUUAAAAUGCCUGCGACUCCUGCAUCGUUCGACCUACUUUACAGAUGGGCUUGAUCCAGCUGUUUUCCCYGGUUCAGGCCACUGAGUGACAAGUGUAGGUUUCACAUCUAGCUGUGUCUGACUCUGGAGCAGACGSUUGAACCACACUGUUGGAACAACCCUGGCAGAGGGGCAGGGGAUCUUUAAUAGAUGACAAAGGUGAGGGUCAGAGUUUGUUAGUAAGUAAGGGCAGGAAUGAGGACCUGGAGCAGUCGCACUCCACAGCCCGUGUUCCUUCCUCUCUACCACAGCCCUUCUCGUUAGUGACACAAGCUGUGGGAGCCUUUCUGUAGGGUCUGGAGCAUGCCCAGUGUCCCCAUCCACUGCUUAUGGGGGGCAAGGGGUCCUUGUUGCUCUUCAGGGUCAUUGGUGGCUGUAUCUGCCAUUCUGAAAUCUUGCACAAUUUGCUGGUCUUGCAAUGGGACCAGCUCAUGCUCAUAACUGAGAGUUGUCACCAACGCGCAUCACCUUGAUAUGCAAAGCAUGGGUUUAUUUUGGCGAAACAGGGCCCGGUGCUACCUCAGGGCGUGGGCGCUUGUCAGAACGUGACUCAUCCUAUAGCAAGCUUUUUCCAUUCCCAGUUUGAUAAUGGAGACUACUUUGAAGCUGCUGAGCCGGUGACCUUACUUAGCAAAUGACCAAAACAGUGAAGAUYGUGCUGACAAGCUCACCGCACUCCGUUUCCAGAGAACUUAAGAGCUUGCACAAUGUUCUAGAUGCAUCUUUCCUCAGACCCGCGCUCACCCAUAAAUGGAGAAGGCAGCUGCCCACACAGCGCGGUCUGUGGGACACUGGCAAACCUUCCUGCCGCCUCCCUGACACGCACCUGCCGCAGAGCACAAAGCUGUGCCAUUCGGGAGGCGAAGCUGCCCCAGUCCCUCCGACCUGAGUGCCACGUGGCUUCCCACCUCUCCCAGCACGCCGAGAACUGUGCCCAGAGGAARCGGAAAGGCUUCCAGGAAUGGGGAGGAAGCGAGGAGUCCAGAGUCUUGUAGGAUGCUCGGGGGGCUUUAUAGAGGAUCCUGGAGACAGGGACAGAGACUCCAGGGAGUCUCACGCUCACCCUCAGACAAGCUUUGUUAUCUUUAUCUAGCAAACGAGGGAGACUAAGGCUCAGAGAAAUAAAAAUGUUACACAGAUGAGAGUGCA
rnacentral:lncRNA from 1 species